UCAUAGUCACAAGUUUCACAGUUCAGUGCGAAAUGCUAAAUGAAUAAGGAGAAUGAAAUACCAUGAGGGAAAAGAGGAAAUAAGAUUACUAUGUCAAAGAAAGACUAAAAAUACUAGGCAGCAAUCCAAGGACCUGGUUUUCAGGUCUUGCUGAUCAAUCACAACUUCAAGUGGCUUCAGGGGAAUGUCUGAAGCCCAACACUUCGGAACGGAAAACCACCACAUCUGCUUGUGUAGAGUCUGUUUAUUGAACUACACUCUGAGAAGAGGCAUAUACUCCUCGAAUGCCAAGCAGGACAUAACAAUCUGAUUGGUUUCCCACUGGUGCAAAAAGCACAGUUCUGAGUGAUUUCCUGGAAAAAAAUACUCCUGAGUCUUUGUGCAUUAGCAAGAAUGAUCAUCCAGUCCCAUCUUUGCCUUUUAUUUAUUUCUUGCCACAGUACCACUCCAAUGCCAAGAGAGCUUCAGUCUUGCAAAAGAGUGUUUCAGUGAAUCUCCUGUUUGGCUGCUACCAAAUAGAUUGAUACAAGAUGGCUGCACGUGGGAAUUAGUGAGAAAUGAAGAUGUGAGAAACAGAUCCUAGUUGAAGCACAGACUGAAAAGUCCCUUCCUUAAACAGCUAACAUGCUUGACAAAUUACAAGACUGAGGUAACCUAUUCCAUCCCAUUCCAAGUAAACUAUUGAUCACACUGCUGUGUUCAGAAGACAGCUGUAAGAAGACACCAGACCUUGAAGCACACUACUAAGCAUGGAAAUUCAGUUUCUAUUCCAGAAAUGAGCACUGACUCUGCUUUAAG